GGCGCCAUACCCAAGUGGUUACGGGGACAGAUUAGAAUUUGUCUAACAAAAUAUCUGUUAGUCUUUGACUGCGCAGGUUCAAAUCCUGCUGGCGUCG